rnacentral:rRNA from 1 species
CAGUGUGGAAUAUUGCACAAUGGGCGCAAGCCUGAUGCAGCCAUGCCGCGUGUAUGAAGAAGGCCUUCGGGUUGUAAAGUACUUUCAGCGAGGAGGAAGGCGUUAAGGUUAAUAACCUUUGUGAUUGACGUUACUCGCAGAAGAAGCACCGGCUAACUCCGUGCCAGCAGCCGCGGUAAUACGGAGGGUGCAAGCGUUAAUCGGAAUUACUGGGCGUAAAGCGCACGCAGGCGGUCUGUCAAGUCGGAUGUGAAAUCCCCGGGCUCAACCUGGGAACUGCAUUCGAAACUGGCAGGCUAGAGUCUUGUAGAGGGGGGUAGAAUUCCAGGUGUAGCGGUGAAAUGCGUAGAGAUCUGGAGGAAUACCGGUGGCGAAGGCGGCCCCCUGGACAAAGACUGACGCUCAGGUGCGAAAGCGUGGGGAGCAAACAGAUUA